rnacentral:ncRNA from 1 species
UCUUGGUGGUAGUAGCAAAUAUUCAAAUGAGAUCUUUGAAGACUGAAGUGGAGAAAGGUUCCUAGAGAACAGUAGUUGGUCUAGGGUUAGUCGCUCCUAAGAGAUAGGAAAGUUCUGUUUUAAAUCGGCCUUUAUUGGCCGGGCCUAUCGAAAGGGAAGCUGGUUAAGAUUCCAGCACUAGGACGAGGAAUUUAGGCGGUAACGGCCAAAGAACUUG